CGGGCAGUAGUCUAGUCUGGCUCAGGACGCCUGGUUUGGGACCAGGAAAUUCGUGAGUUCAAAUCUCACCUGCCCGA
rnacentral:tRNA from 1 species